AUACGGAGGUUGCAAGCGUUAAUCGGAAUUACUGUGCGUAAAGCGUACGUAGGCGGUUAUUUAAGUCAGAUGUGAAAGCCCCGGGCUUAACUUGGGAACUGCAUUUGAAACUGGGUAACUAGAGUUUAGUAGAGGGGAGUGGAAUUUCAGGUGUAGCGGUGAAAUGCGUAGAGAUCUGAAGGAACACCAGUGGAGAAGGCGACUCCCUGGACUAAAACUGACGCUGAGGUACGAAAGCGUGGGUAGCAAACAGGAUUAGAUACCCCGGUAGUCC
rnacentral:rRNA from 1 species